rnacentral:misc_RNA from 1 species
GUGCAGGUUAACAACACCAUGGCUCUUCCGUCUAGUCUUUCUGCUUAUAAAAAACAAAAAUAAUCACAAAGGACCCAAACCACCAAAGGUAAGAUGAAAUGUAGUUUUAGCAAUCCACUAGUGUAGAAUUUGUUGUGCAAGUUUCAUUAUCAAAUCAUCUCCUAAUGUGACAGCAAUAUUGAGCAUCAAACUGUUGCUCCAAAAAUUCAUCUCUUAGUCCAGUUUAGCAUUAAUUCUACAUACAAAAUAUCAUCUCUUAGUCCAGUUUAGCAUUAAUUCUACAUACAAAAUAUUAAGCAUUAAUCCUAUUAAAAGUGCAACAUCAGGAGCACCAACACACAGGUUUAAACUUUCAUGAACCUACGACCAACCGAAAAUAUAAUCAAGAACAUAGACCAGUGCCAGUGAGAAGGGAUACAGGAGGUAAGCAACUGAAGAAGUCCAGAGAGGAAAUGUAGAGCGGAAGCUGGCAAAAGCACCCAUCACAAUGCACACAAUAAAAAUAACCAGAACUUCAGAUGAAAAGUCCCAUGUCAACCCCCUGACAUAAACAAGAGCCAAGAAUACCGAUAGGCAAAGGAGAUUAUUCAUGGUUACUGCUCCAUAUAGCUCAGAAAAUGUUAAUGAAGCAGUUCUAACCGUCUUCCGGCUAGCAAAGAUGAUUGCUGAGACAGCCUCACUAGAGUUGGUGGCCAAGGGCAGUGCAAUAAAAGAGAUAAAGAAAGUAGGAAUACUUGUUGCAUCAGAAAAAUUGUCAACAGCAUCCACCAGGGGAUCUGCAAAUACAGCAGCAAUAAUGGUUCCUAAUAACAACAUCAAUACUGCUUUGAUGGAGAUCCAUCUGGGGUUUUCAACACCCUCUACGACCUCAUCACUUUGAUCCUCCACUCGAUCCUCAGGCCCCAAAAGAGCAUGUUCCCUCUUUGUUUGCACAUGAAAAUCAUUUAUAAGCUUAAAUGUCUUAGAGCCAGAGUUGGCUAUGGCUGCCCCUGCUCGCUUUGCCUCUUCAAUCCAUUUCGAGAUACCAUUGAUGAACUCGUCAAGAUCAAUAGAAUUAUCAAGAGAUGUAUCAAAAUCUUUCAUUACUUUAUCCACGGCAUCAUCCCUAUCAAAGUCAAUCUCUUCAAACCGAAUUCCUAAGAUCAGUGCUCUCAUUUCAGAAGCUGAGAGUUUUUCAUCAUUAUUCUCAUCAAUAGCAUGAAACAACUUUUCCAUUACGUCUCUGUUAAGUUGACCAUCAUCAGUCAGGAACCUUCCCAAAGUACGCUCUCUUAAAUGUUUCAAAAUUCCUGAUAUCACGUGUUUGUGCUUUGCAUAAGCAAGUCGUCUCCUCUGGAUCCAUGGCUGAAAGACCUGAUAAAGGCAAUAAGAAAUCAACAUUAAGAGAGAUAUAAUAAGUGCAAUCAAGACUGCCAAGUGCCGUCCUGAAGUCGAAUUGAGGAGUUGUGGAAGUUGAACAAUAAUAAAUGGGAGAACAGAUAUAGCCAUUAUCCUCGCAGCAUAACAAGUCCAUAUAUCAGUGCUAACACCGGUGCCAGUUAAGCUGAAUCCGUUUGUGUCCUUUCCAUUGAUGGCAACAGAAUCUGUCUCCCGAAGGUCACAUUUGCCAACAACAACGCAGGAUCCCCAAAUAAUGGUAAGUAGCAUGACAGUUGACCCAGCCAACAAGCCCAUUCCGACAGAGACCUGGCUUUGAGCUGUUGCUGUACUCCCAGAAAGUCCAGAUACUGUAGAGAAAAGGGAGGGGUCAUAAGAGUAAAAGAAAAAUAUACAACUCAUAUCAGAACCCAAAAGUUGUGAAGUAAAAUCUAGCAUUGUACAGUCGUUAAAAUUAAGCAACAAAUACAGGAUAAAACAAAUAGAUUAAUUAAAAACUCCACUCAUAAGAUUCAUCAUAUAUUAUUGGUAUAAUCAAUCGCUGGAAAUAGUGUCAUAGACAGUUGUUACUAUUACUCUCAUCAAAAUCAUUAGCGCAGAAAAUUGGCAUAGAAAUUAAUUCUGCGCAUAAAAAUGAAAUGACGCCGUUCAGCGCCAUGGGGUCCAUGAAAAGGACGAUUAAUAUUUGAUUCUCAGCAUAAAAGUAGUAGUUAUGACUACGGCUCUGAUAAAAAAAAGGAAGUUAUGACUACGGCUGAAUUGAGUUGAAUUUUCAAAUCACUAGGCAAUAUUCCAAAGGAGGAAAAAAGGUAAAAUGAAUUUGAGUUAAAAUUGUGUGUGCCUUCCCUCUUCCAAGAAUUUGAAGUCUAUUCGAUAAGGUAUUUAUCUAGUUGUUGGGUGGCUGAACUAGAAUUUUUGACAUGAUUGUGCAUACAUAGAAUAUAAAGUUUUAAGUAUUUUUUAACAAAAUUAUCAUAAUUUCACCGUUUCAUCAAAUAUUGUGUGAUUUCUUCUUAACCAAUAAAAAAAUUAGUAAAAUAAAAAAUGAAACGCAAGAAAAAAUAUAUGCCAAAAUUGAAUAAAUAUGAAAUAAAUUAUAAAAAAAAAUAUUGAAAAGGGGAUGGCCUUAUUCUCCAUUAAUAUUUCCCACACUUUCCAGGCAACCAAACAGAAGGAAAAGGAAAAAUAAAUAAAUUCACAUAGAAUAGAAUAGAAUCGGAUCGGAUCAAAUCGAAUCUCUACACACUAAUCACAUUACCAAGAAUAAGCAUUGCAUCAGGAAGCGCGCCGAGCACAGGAAGAAACAAGCCACCAACGAUUCCAGGGCCCAAAAUCUCAAGCAAGAGCUCGCUACCAUUAGACAAAUAGGUAGCAGCAAAGAACAUUAGGUAUCCAUACACAAUUAUCAAAAACAAGUUACCAAGCGCAGUGGAGGUACAAGGCAUAAAGCCAUAGGUCUGCUCACAGGAAUACUCAUAAGAGAACGGAUCGAGGAGGAUGUAAGGCCGUGUCCGGAGGGAGUGGACACCAUCAGAAAUCAGAUUAGAGUGCUGAGACGAUGAGAGGGGCCGGGAAUGGACGGCGGAGACGGGGAAGAGGAUCGGAAGGAGGAGGAGGAGGAGUAGGUGGCGGUAAGGUUUGUGAGCAGGCAUGGUUAGUGAUGAGACGAGUGCAACCGUACAAGAGAAGAAAAAAAGCGAAGCUGGUGGCCUAAGAUAUACAGACAGUUGCUGCGGGCGCGUCUCGACCGCGUGUGGUCCGGUGAAGGAUUGUGUAGGGUCCGAU